CAAAUGCACAAGAUACUGAUGAGGCAUGAUCCUAACAAGAACAAAAAGGGCAGCCACACAGUCUAAAGGAGAGAGUCAGAGACCAAAGUUUGUCCUUGGAAAUAAUUGAUGGGUUUUGGCUUGCUCUGUCUGCAAGAGUGAUCCUCUUGUAAACAAUGACACUUGCAUUUUGACCUUUGCAUGUUUUUAGGUUCUCUGAUAUCCAGAAAGAUGUCCUAUCAGCAGCAGCAGCAAUAGUGCAAGCAGCCCUGCCAACGACCUCUUGUGCUCCCACCUCCCAAGUGCCCAGCGCCAUGCCCACCACCAAAGUGCCCAGUGCCAUGCCCACCUCCAGAGUUUCCACCUCAACUCUGCCAGCAGCAGUGUCCCCCUGUGCAGCCACCACCGUGCCAGCAGAAGUGACCACCCAGGAGCAGUAAGAGCAAAAGCCAUCAAGACCAUCGUGCAAACAAAUCACAGGGUCAGGCUCCUCUCUGAAUUAGGACCACUCUUCCUCAGAGCCCCAGGAAAAGCAUCGGGAGCAAGUCUACCUUUCUUAAAAUACAGCCUUUCUCUGAUCUGUGCCUAAGA